UGUGUGAUUUAUCAAUACAAAGUGUCGAGUUUCUUGUUCGGGCUCAAUCAACGCUUUCAACACGAAUUGCGUUGGUGGCUGAUGAAGAUUCCAUUUCAAUUCACGUAGCACCUAAGAGUGUGUCCUAGCGAUCAAUGAGAUGGGCUAAAACCUUGGAGGCCAGGGUUUCUUCUCAGCACAGACAAAAAAUGCUAAGCUAUUUCUUCCCAUCAAUCUAAACCCUGAUAGGGGGUUAUCUGUUGUUCUGGUGAGAGGUAUCAGAUACCCUGUGGAAUGGUCAAGGUGCAUUUGAAAGCCAACAUAAUCUAUAAAAAUAUAAAUUGAAUAUAUUAGAAUCGGGGUAUACCCUUGAAAGGUCUGUUUGGGAAUUCUAUUUGCUAUAUACACAUUAUUUUAUAGAACUGCUUUAAGUGACUAUUGUGUUUUUUCCUUCCCUCGUUUUUGUGGCCGCAUGAAUCACAGAACACAAAGUUGAAAGUGCUAAGAAUAAGCGUGCGAGUGAACAGAACCCAACCCUAGAUUUAUGGUUAAGUAUGGUUGUAAGUAAAUUAUAGACCACUUCAAAUUUCGGUUUCGAGGUAUCAAUGAGACUAGGGUGAAAACAAAUGGAUGUAAUCAAAUUGGGCGUGGAUAGAUUCCUAUAAUUCUGUGUCUUGAAACAAAUGGAUGUAAUCAAAUUGGGCUUGAACAGUUUCCUAUAAAUCUGUGUCUUGAAAUGGUAGUGAAGGGCCAUCGGUGAAAGGAAUCGAGAUGCUUAAGAUUGCGGCUCAAGUAAGGAAGAUGAAUAUGCAAGAAUACAGUAUAACCUAUAAAAGUUGCUUGACAAUUCUAAUUGGUACUUAUUACUUAUUUGUACCAAACACUUACCUAAAAAGGUUUCCUAUUCAAGCAAGAAAGAUGAAUAUAUAAGAACAGGGUAUAACCUGAAGAUGUUGCUGACACGGUUUGUAUACUAGUUUCAGUAAAAAUAAGGCAUUUUGAUUUGAUCAGCUUUCCAUUUUGAUAGUUAAUAUAGUUGCUUCCAACUAUUGCCUUCAUCCUACUUCCACUUUUGAGCCCACAUAUAUCACAGAAAGCAUAGUUGGAAGUGCCAAAAUUUAGUGUGACUGCAGAUGCUAAUUUAAAAUGUAAGGUAAACCCUACCCUAAUUUUAGGGUCAAUUAAGCCGAUAGGAUUAUUAUGGAAAGAAUAGGGCAUAAUCUAACCUGCGGGGAAUCAUUGCAGCCCAGUUGGUUGGCUAUUAAGCAGUUUUUGCAGAUAGUGGGAAUGAUGUAGAAAGCUUUAAAAGAACUUCUUAUUCCACUUGUAUAUUUGGUGAGAGAAUACCAUGAUGUGUUGACGGUCAAGCUUGAUGGAGAA
rnacentral:lncRNA from 1 species